UAAAUGGCUUACCCCAACAAAUUUAGGCAUUGAGGAUAACCGACCGACCCCGCAAUGGCUGAGCUACCAAGCAUACACAUCUCCAUUCCACCACCUCGUCAGCAACCGCUUCACCAGAGCGAUGCAGAUGAGGAUGAUGACAACGUUAAGCAACUCAAACAAUGCUCCUCUCUCUACCUAUCCCUACAGAAAUUCAAGCUUUGAAGGCAUGCAAUGAUAGGAUGAAGAAUGACAAGGGGAAGUGAAGAUUCGGCACUCACAAGCUCCAAAACCGUGAUUAACUCUCGGCUCACAAUAAACUCUCCAUUGAAUUCAGCAUUCAUAACUCUCCGAUUGGCAAGUUUUGUAAUACAAUGGAUUGCUGUAAACAUUUGAGCUAUUCAAGAAUUUCGGAAUGUUCUCGUAUCGGGAUUCUAUCCAAAAGAAAUAUAGCAUUUGCUUCUCUUGGUUCACAGUGGUAUCGUGCAGUACUUUAUUGUUUCCAAUAAAUAGGCAAGCAAGAGAUGAGAAAAUACUUGUGUUGUACAGCAGAAAUAAAUAGGCACUGGGAAUUACUUGUUAAUUAUUUGGACUCAAUACUUUAUCAGCUUGUAGGCUUGCAAAAUAAGAGAAGAAAUUGAUAGAAGAAAAAACAGUUAUUCUAAUUAGCAAGUGUGUUUCUAGGAUUGACUCUCUGCUGUUUCCUUUUUUAUGUCACCAGUUAACAUCUUAAUUGGCUCUUAAAGUCCUUUUUGCUUCAAGACGAUAGAUGCAGAUGCUCCUUGGCAAUCAACGAAAUGCCUGCCCUUUCUUCUCUAUUGAAGAUGGCCAUGGUGGACAAUCUUCAUGUUCAUUUCGGUAUGUUUGUCCAAUCCUAGCCCCACAUACGCAAUUGAGAGUCAUUGUUUUUCUUAAAAUCUCUCUCUCUAUCUCUAUCUCUCUCUCUGAGAAAUCAUAAAUAAUCUGAGACAUUUUGGUGACUGUCAAAAAUUGCUCUGAGUCUUUAGAAACCAUGAUUUCUGAGACGGACAUAACCAUUUGUAGAAUAAAAACCCUUAGCUUGGAAGGGAUGCGUAGACAAUUCCAUCUCAUUGCCCGAAUGCCCAGGAAAAAGUAGAUUAUUUUGAUGGAAAAAAUGGAGAUCCUUUUAAAAAGCUGUAUCUUGAAAUUUAUUCACCUAGUUCCUA